UUCAUUCCGUUUUCAUUAAUCAUACCAAACGCGUCCGCCUAAACAAAGUAGAAGACAUCCUUAACAUUCAAUUUGUUUGCCUACCCAGGAAUUUCUGAGAAUCUGCUUCUUGUCCGUUUAGUAACCAAAGUAACUACUCAAUGAAAUUUGAUACUCGUCUAUAUUUCUAACCUCGUUUUUCAUGCUCUCAUUUUUCUCUGGCUACAUUUUAUCUUCGCCAUUAAAUACAUUUGAAUUAUUUAAAAGAUGUUCUUCUGAUUCAUUGUCAAAUCAUAGAGUCUGGAUUUCAAUCCAGUAUCUUCACAUCCAAUAAUCUCAUCCUUUUUAUGCUGAAUAUGGUGUUUUAUGGAAUGCACAGAAACUGUUCGAUGAAAUGCCUGAACGAAAUCUAUGUACUUGGAACACCACAAUUGCUGCCCACUUAAGGAAUCAAGACAUAAACACAACUGAGCUCCUUUUUUAACUCUUCACCAUACAAGGACUUGGUGACUUACAAUGCUAUGUUAGCUGGGUAUGUCAAUGCUGAUGAGGGGCGGGAUCAUGAAAGGAGUGCUUUUAGACUCUUUGUUGAUAUGCAAUCAUCUCAGUUUAGUGGUGGCAACUCAACCAAAAGCUUAAGCGGAUGAUUGGAUUCCCAGGAAUAGUUUUAUACUCUACCAGUAUCGAUGAGUUUACUAUCACUAUCAUGCUUAACUUGGUUGCAAGAUUGUCUUUCUCGCCUCUAAGAAUGCAGUUGCAUUCGUAUAUGAUGAAAAGAAAGCGGAAGCAUUGCGUCUCUAAGAAUGCUAUAGUUGCUGCUUGCUGUAGAGAAAUUAAACCCAGAAUCACACCGUACUGAUGAAGCCAGAUAUAUUUUGGAUGACUUCUGAUGGUGAUGCCAGGAUAUCAAAGAUAUAUGAUGCCGAGGAGUAAUGUUAACAUCUAAAAGAGGAGGCUGGUUUCAUUUUUUCUCUCAAAGUGGUGAGUUUAUAUGUCUAUGGAAAAUCAGAAUUAUUGUUGCUCCCUCACGAUAGGAAAAUGAGAUGAUUCUGGUGAAAUCUGAUUCUGAAAAUGGUUCUACCAAGCUGCUGCACCUACUGAGUACUUUCAUGAGCCAAACAAGCAAAAUGCUGGUGGGUUGCAGACUAUCGUAUCACAGCCUCAUGCUGGUGGGGCCGAUUUUCAUCCGGCCAAUACUUUGCUGAAGCGAAAAAUACCUGAAGGAGGAGAUAAAGGAGAGGAACAAUCUAAGAAGAGUAAUUCCCAUCAAUGCAGACUAUGUAACAUGUCAUUCAGCACUGGCAAUGCCUUGGGUGGGCAUAUGAGUUACCAUGCCAAGAAGAAGAAGUUGAAGCAGACCCUAGUGUCUAAGCAACCACGUAUUUGAGAACCAGCCUUUGUUUGUGCUUUGGAUCCUGAUAUACGAGGGUGCUGAAGGCUGAAGAAAACGGGGGCAUUAUAGCUAUUAUUGUGAUAAUACUUUUUCGAGCAGAUUUGGCCUCUAGUGGUGAUAGCAUUUGGUUUGAUGUUAUUGAUGGUGAAGAGCAGUCGAUUGAGACUUUAAUAUGGUUGUUUUGGAGUUUUUGCUUGCAAGACUUGAAUAAAUUUGCAUCUAUCUUUAGUUUGUAAGACUAAACUAGAUGUAUCACAUGGACUGAUCAGGUCGAGUUCAAGUGAACCAAUCUUAAUUUCCGCAUCUAUUCCAUUCUUUAGGUAGUUUUUCAAAACGUUUACUUAGAUUUUGUGGGUUUUUUCUUGUAGUUGUUAGGUCAAGUUUUCACAGGUAUACAGAACACAAUUUUGAUUCUUUGCUUAUGAAAUGUGUAACCAUAAUUUCCUUUA